GAACAGGCAGUGACUUUAGCGAGGGAGGUGGAGCUGGGUUGCCAGCGCGCGUGCGCUGCUCCGGCUCUGCCUGGCUCGCGCGGGGCCGUUGGAGCCUCUCCCGGGGCCGGAGAAGGGUGUGUCACUGAGAUCAGGGCUCCUAUCGUACUAAGUGUGUCCCUGCUCUGACAGCUGCUGCAGAGACCCCAACUGAGAUCUGGGCCCUGCUUUGCCAGGCACUGAAGAGACCCCAGGAGUCCGUGUCUCUGCUCCCUGUGGCCGUGGUGGAUUCCGUACCAAAGCAGCACGUCAGCAGAGCAGACGCACACACCAUAGCUCUGCCUGGAACACGCAGCAUUCAUUGCCAGACGGGCUGAGUGAUUGGCUGGGAUGGAUUCACUUGGACAACGGUCUGAGGCUCUCAUAGUUUGAGAUGUUCCUUUGUGCAUAGUUAAUUCUUUCCAUUUAUUAUUUUCCCUCUACCUAUGCCUAAUGCCGCUCUCUUCUUUACUUGCUUUGGUUAUUUCAGUUCCAGUUUUUAAAUGGGAUCUAAGAUUUGCAAAGCUGAAUGAAAGAUAAAACAAACAGAACCAUUUGAAUGUUGGCCCAUAGCUGGUUGUACUGUACCUGGUGAAGGUCGGCUGUAAUGACCGGGUUCCCUAUAGCAUUUUCCGGUGGGGCGGAUAAAGCGACGUCAAAGAGUCAAAUGCGCAUUUUAGGGCAAAAGGGCUAUAUGCAUGAGAAAUGAACUGACACUUAAUUUCCAUUUCUUAAUGCCUAAAAUUUUGACACUCGCUCACACCAAUUUUUUUUUAAAGCGAUGCCCAGCACACUGUCAAGUUAAUGAAUGAAAGCACACCCAUUAUUGAUUGCUUUCUGUUGCAUGAGCAUCUGAUUAAGCACCUGAUUAAAACUGUACCAAUGUAAGUGAAAAUGCAUCAACCCAGCUUAGCUUCAGGAUGUUCAGAUGUUUCUAAAUUAAAUACAUGGCAGAAUGGUUAAUGGGGAAAAUACACUGAAAUGCCUCUACCCAGUCCUGUUGACUUCUCCCAACCGUCCUAUGAGUUCUGGCCUCUUGGUCAACUGAGCUCCCAGUCCCACUUCAGCUGUACCCUCUCCUAACCUAACCCAUUUCUACUGCAAUUGUUCAUCCCCCUCGUCAAGGCAGGGGGUUGGUGCUGCAGCCCCUAAGGUACCUGUGUUAAUCACUGUCUCUCAUACUGGGGCUAUUUAGAUUUCAGGGAACGAUUUCUCAGAAUUACUGACUCUGGGAGGUGGGAGAGAGCAGAGGCUCAGAGGGGGUUUGCUCUUAGGGACACGUUCAACUCUGGUAGCCUCCGUGUUACCUCGUCCUCCACCCUCCCUCAUGUGUCUCUGAUCAUGUGUCAGAGUGUCAUCUUCUGAUCAUAAUGCCACUGGCCUCAGCAGAGCUCCCAGACAGGAGCUAUGUCACGAGGGGGUUACGGUACUGAGAGUGAAAUACAUCACAGGGAGGGUGUAAUUAUCCUGAAAUGAAACAUUCCAGUCUAGGAAAUGAAAGAUUUCAAGUACUUCAUUACUUAAAAUUAUGCUUGAAAUGAUUGGAUUUUUAUGAAUUAAAUUGCAGCAAACGUUCAUUUUACUGUACACACACGCACACACAGAUGGA